UAGGCAUCACAGGAGAAGAGAGAGGAGACGGGGAGAGAAAUGCGGCCCCGAGCCGGCCAUAUCCACCAGGAAUACACCCUGGAGGAUCAGAGCAGGCAGUGCUGACGCAACAACAGCAGGCCAUUAUCAACCAGCAAGCUAUUAUUUUGGCCCAGCAGAUGACCAUGCAGGCCAUUGCCAUCCAGCAGCAGAUGUUGUCCUCUUUCCCCCCUGUUGCCCCUGCCCCCCAAUCACCACCUUCACAGCAUCACACACACAUGCAGCAAUGCUCCCACGCACCCAGUCCUGUGAGUAAAUACGCA
rnacentral:lncRNA from 1 species